CCUACGGGUGGCUGCAGUGGGGAAUUUUGGACAAUGGGGGCAACCCUGAUCCAGCCAUGCCGCGUGAGUGAAGAAGGCCUUCGGGUUGUAAAGCUCUUUCGGUGGGAACGAAACGGUCACGGCCAAUACCCGUGACUACUGACGGUACUCACAGAAGAAGCACCGGCUAACUACGUGCCAGCAGCCGCGGUAAUACGUAGGGUGCGAGCGUUAAUCGGAAUUACUGGGCGUAAAGGGUGCGCAGGCGGUCUCGUAAGCUGGGUGUGAAAGCCCCG
rnacentral:rRNA from 1 species